rnacentral:rRNA from 1 species
UGGGGAAUCUUGGACAAUGGGGGCAACCCUGAUCCAGCCAUGCCGCGUGGACGAUGAAGGCCCUAGGGUUGUAAAGUCCUUUCACCGGUGAAGAUAAUGACGGUAGCCGGAGAAGAAGCCCCGGCUAACUCCGUGCCAGCAGCCGCGGUAAUACGGAGGGGGCUAGCGUUGUUCGGAAUUACUGGGCGUAAAGCGCGCGUAGGCGGAUUGUUAAGUCGGGGGUGAAAUCCCGGGGCUCAACCCCGGAACUGCCUUCGAUACUGGCAAUCUAGAGAUCUGGAGAGGCGAGUGGAAUUCCGAGUGUAGAGGUGAAAUUCGUAGAUAUUUGGAGGAACACCAGUGGCGAAGGCGGCUCACUGGCUCGAUACUGACGCUGAGGUGCGAAAGUGUGGGGAGCAAACAGGAUUAGAUACCCUGGUAGUCCACACCGUAAACGAUGAAUGCCAGUCGUCGGGUAGCAUGCUAUUCGGUGACACACCUAACGGAUUAAGCAUUCCGCCU